rnacentral:lncRNA from 1 species
CUUCUACUGAGACUACACAUGGCUCUGAAGCCCUCUAUCAUGAUGCACACGGAGGCAGCUCCCACCAAGCCAUGGACGGCGCAAGUUGGUCCCAGGGAUUUGAACUCAGGUCACUAGACUUGGCAGCAAGCACCUUUACCUAUUAAGCCAUCUUUUCAUCUGGCAGACAUCAUGCAGAAGGAGCUGUAGCAGGUUUCUUCUAACAGCCGCCAAAACUUGAAUUGGAGAUGCUAGAGAGGAAGAUGUAGAAAAUGGGCAAAAUAUCAGCCUGAUACCAUGAGGAUGAAUGAGAGAGAGCUUACCCUUGCCUCUCCACAACUACGGCAGCUUGGUGGUUUUGGACCCAGUCUGAAAAUGUAGAAACUGAGCUGAGACUUAUUUCCGUUGAGCAUUUCUCAAAGUAUGACAUAUGCGGCAGCACUUGAGAUGAUUUUAGGGUUUGUGGACAAACUUUGUUAUCAUGCCAAUUAUAGAUAUAUCUAAUGACCAUAGAAAAUGUGAUUUGUCCCUUAAAUCUCUGCCAUCUGCCUUGUAUAUUGUUUUUUUCCAGAAUGAAGCCAAGUAAAAACAGUGAGACUGAAUAAUUGUACAAAUAGCGUGUGACAGAGUUUCAAAUGAUGAGAGAGCCUUAAGAGUUACUGACAUUUGC